AGCUCUGUCCUUAAGGGGUUAAUAGCAAUUUAAAAACAGCAAAACUUGUUGUGGAGGUAGUUAGUCCGCUCACCAGCCUCAGGAAACCGCAAAGAAAGUUCCAUAUACUCAUGCAAUGUAAAAAUUCCUCCGGCUGCUGUCCUGGCUGCUGCUGCCGACUGUCUCCAAUUCACUUCCUGGUUCCGGGUCCAUCGGUACCUCUGUUUGCUUUAUUUUAAAUAUCUAUAAGUGAAUUACUAUGCUGCACUAGGAGCUCUCUUUCUGUUUUUGUCUCCUUAAUAGGUGUCCGAGUGAUUUCCGUGUUUGCAAGUAUACCUACAGAUUGUGCUUUGUUUUAUCACAACCACUGUUUGUGUUUCAAUUACUAAUAAUAUUUCCACUCUGUAUACACCUCAUUUCAUGUACACAGGGGUACUUCCACUCUCUAUAAGAGAUCC